GACAGAGGGUGCAAACGUUGUUCGGAUUUACUGGGCGUAAAGCGCGUGUAGGCGGCUUGGCAAGUCGGAUGUGAAAGCCCACGGCUCAACCGUGGAAGCGCAUCCGAAACGGCCUCGCUCGAGUCUCGGAGAGGAAGGUGGAAUGCUUGGUGUAGAGGUGAAAUUCGUAGAUAUCAGGAAGAACACCCGUGGCGAAGGCGGCUCUCUGGGACGGUACUGACACUGAGACGCGAAAGCGUGGGGAGCGAACAGG
rnacentral:rRNA from 1 species